rnacentral:tRNA from 1 species
UCCGGUAUGGUGUAUCGGCUAGCAUCCGUCGCUUUCAUUCCCAAUGUCAGCGCCCGACGAGAGCCGGGUUCGACUCCCGGUACCGGAA